rfam:Bombyx mori DNA, contig: Bm_scaf61_contig29000, strain: p50T/Dazao, build 2, whole genome shotgun sequence.
ACAACAUUCGGGCCGUCGCCGCAUCGGUCUAUCGAACAAUUUCACCCGCUCGGUGGAAGAUCUUCCUGUUGUCAA